UACAUGGAAAGCACCCAAGUGCGCACAACAGGAAAACGGAGUUGACUGUGGCCUAUACAUGAUGAGAUUCAUGUAUGACAUAGUGAUGAGUCAUUGUACAGACACACGUCAGCUUGAAGAGUUUUGCAAGGGGCAAACGGGACAGCCAUACACGAGCGAGGAACUCCGUGAAAUUCGGGAG